rnacentral:rRNA from 1 species
UACAGAGGUCCCGAGCGUUGUUCGGAUUUAUUGGGCGUAAAGGGUCCGUAGGCGGCCUGGAAAGUCGGAUGUGAAAUCCCACAGCUUAACUGUGGAACUGCAUUCGAAACUUCUAGGCUAGAGUGUGAGAGGGGUAAAGGGAAUUCCCGGUGUAAGAGUGAAAUCUGCAGAGAUCGGGAGGAACACCAGUCGCGAAGGCGCUUUACUGGAUCACUACUGACGCUGAGGGACGAAAGCCAGGGGAGCAAACGGG